rnacentral:rRNA from 1 species
GACGAACGCUGGCGGCGUGCUUAACACAUGCAAGUCGAACGGACAGACAGAGAGCUUGCUCUCUUGAAGUUAGUGGCGAACGGGUGAGUAACGCGUAAUCAACCUGCCCUUCAGAGGGGGAUAACAACGGGAAACCGUUGCUAAUACCGCGUACGAUUCAUGAACGGCAUCGUCUAUGAAUGAAAGGUGGCCUCUAUGUAUAAGCGAUCGCUGAAGGGGGGGAUUGCGUCUGAUUAGCUAGUUGGAGGGGUAACGGCCCAACAAGGGAAUGAUCAGUAGCCGGUCUGAGAGGAUGAACGGCCACAUUGGGACUGAGACACGGCCCAAACUCCUACGGGAGGCAGCAGUGGGGAAUCUUCCGCAAUGGACGAAAGUCUGACGGAGCAACGCCGCGUGAGUGAUGAAGGUCUUCGGAUUGUAAAGCUCUGUUAAUCGGGACGAAAGAGUUCUGCGUGAAUAAUGCAGAAAAGUGACGGUACCGGAAUAGAAAGCCACGGCUAACUACGUGCCAGCAGCCGCGGUAA